rnacentral:misc_RNA from 1 species
GAUGAAGAACGCAGCGAAACGCGAUAUGUAAUGUGAAUUGCAGAAUUCAGUGAAUCAUCGAAUCUUUGAACGCACAUUGCGCCUCCUAGUACUCUGGGAGGCAUGCCUGUCCGAGCGUCGUUUCAACCCUCAAGCCCUCGUGGUUUGGCGUUGGAGGUCUACGGGUUCCUCGUAGCCUCCCAAAACCAGUGGCGGACCCGUCGCGGCCCUUCCUUUGCGUAGUAGCAUUCGCCUCGCAUCGGGAGCCCACGGGCUUUUCCUGCCUCUAAACCCCCCACAAGUCCGCUCCGGCGGCACAAGGUUGACCUCGGAUCAGGUAGGAAUACCCGCUGAACUUAAGCAUAUCAAUAAGCGGAGGA